rnacentral:rRNA from 1 species
UGGGGAAUAUUGCACAAUGGGCGCAAGCCUGAUGCAGCCAUGCCGCGUGUAUGAAGAAGGCCUUCGGGUUGUAAAGUACUUUCAGUCGGGAGGAAGGUGGUAAGGUUAAUAACCUUAUCAAUUGACGUUACCGACAGAAGAAGCACCGGCUAACUCCGUGCCAGCAGCCGCGGUAAUACGGAGGGUGCAAGCGUUAAUCGGAGUUACUGGGCGUAAAGCGCACGCAGGCGGUUGAUUGAGUCAGAUGUGAAAUCCCCGGGCUUAACCCGGGAAUUGCAUCUGAUACUGGUCAGCUAGAGUCUUGUAGAGGGGGGUAGAAUUCCAUGUGUAGCGGUGAAAUGCGUAGAGAUGUGGAGGAAUACCGGUGGCGAAGGCGGCCCCCUGGACAAAGACUGACGCUCAGGUGCGAAAGCGUGGGGAGCAAACAGG